AGCGUACACGGUGGAUGCCCUGGCAGUCAGAGGCGAUGAAGGACGUGCUAAUCUGCGAUAAGCGUCGGUAAGGUGAUAUGAACCGUUAUAACCGGCGAUUUCCGAAUGGGGAAACCCAGUGUGAUUCGUCACACUAUCAUUAACUGAAUCCAUAGGUUAAUGAGGCGAACCGGGGGAACUGAAACAUCUAAGUACCCCGAGGAAAAGAAAUCAACCGAGAUUCCCCCAGUAGCGGCGAGCGAACGGGGAGCAGCCCAGAGCCUGAAUCAGUGUGUGUGUUAGUGGAAGCGUCUGGAAAGGCGCGCGAUACAGGGUGACAGCCCCGUACACAAAAAUGCACAUGCUGUGAGCUCGAUGAGUAGGGCGGGACACGUGGUAUCCUGUCUGAAUAUGGGGGGACCAUCCUCCAAGGCUAAAUACUCCUGACUGACCGAUAGUGAACCAGUACCGUGAGGGAAAGGCGAAAAGAACCCCGGCGAGGGGAGUGAAAAAGAACCUGAAACCGUGUACGUACAAGCAGUGGGAGCCUCUUUAUGGGGUGACUGCGUACCUUUUGUAUAAUGGGUCAGCGACUUAUAUUCUGUAGCAAGGUUAACCGAAUAGGGGAGCCGAAGGGAAACCGAGUCUUAACUGGGCGUUAAGUUGCAGGGUAUAGACCCGAAACCCGGUGAUCUAGCCAUGGGCAGGUUGAAGGUUGGGUAACACUAACUGGAGGACCGAACCGACUAAUGUUGAAAAAUUAGCGGAUGACUUGUGGCUGGGGGUGAAAGGCCAAUCAAACCGGGAGAUAGCUGGUUCUCCCCGAAAGCUAUUUAGGUAGCGCCUCGUGAAUUCAUCUCCGGGGGUAGAGCACUGUUUCGGCAAGGGGGUCAUCCCGACUUACCAACCCGAUGCAAACUGCGAAUACCGGAGAAUGUUAUCACGGGAGACACACGGCGGGUGCUAACGUCCGUCGUGAAGAGGGAAACAACCCAGACCGCCAGCUAAGGUCCCAAAGUCAUGGUUAAGUGGGAAACGAUGUGGGAAGGCCCAGACAGCCAGGAUGUUGGCUUAGAAGCAGCCAUCAUUUAAAGAAAGCGUAAUAGCUCACUGGUCGAGUCGGCCUGCGCGGAAGAUGUAACGGGGCUAAACCAUGCACCGAAGCUGCGGCAGCGACGCUGAUGCGUUGUUGGGUAGGGGAGCGUUCUGUAAGCCUGCGAAGGUGUGCUGUGAGGCAUGCUGGAGGUAUCAGAAGUGCGAAUGCUGACAUAAGUAACGAUAAAGCGGGUGAAAAGCCCGCUCGCCGGAAGACCAAGGGUUCCUGUCCAACGUUAAUCGGGGCAGGGUGAGUCGACCCCUAAGGCGAGGCCGAAAGGCGUAGUCGAUGGGAAACAGGUUAAUAUUCCUGUACUUGGUGUUACUGCGAAGGGGGGACGGAGAAGGCUAUGUUGGCCGGGCGACGGUUGUCCCGGUUUAAGCGUGUAGGCUGGUUUUCCAGGCAAAUCCGGAAAAUCAAGGCUGAGGCGUGAUGACGAGGCACUACGGUGCUGAAGCAACAAAUGCCCUGCUUCCAGGAAAAGCCUCUAAGCAUCAGGUAACAUCAAAUCGUACCCCAAACCGACACAGGUGGUCAGGUAGAGAAUACCAAGGCGCUUGAGAGAACUCGGGUGAAGGAACUAGGCAAAAUGGUGCCGUAACUUCGGGAGAAGGCACGCUGAUAUGUAGGUGAAGCGACUUGCUCGUGGAGCUGAAAUCAGUCGAAGAUACCAGCUGGCUGCAACUGUUUAUUAAAAACACAGCACUGUGCAAACACGAAAGUGGACGUAUACGGUGUGACGCCUGCCCGGUGCCGGAAGGUUAAUUGAUGGGGUUAGCGCAAGCGAAGCUCUUGAUCGAAGCCCCGGUAAACGGCGGCCGUAACUAUAACGGUCCUAAGGUAGCGAAAUUCCUUGUCGGGUAAGUUCCGACCUGCACGAAUGGCGUAAUGAUGGCCAGGCUGUCUCCACCCGAGACUCAGUGAAAUUGAACUCGCUGUGAAGAUGCAGUGUACCCGCGGCAAGACGGAAAGACCCCGUGAACCUUUACUAUAGCUUGACACUGAACAUUGAGCCUUGAUGUGUAGGAUAGGUGGGAGGCUUUGAAGUGUGGACGCCAGUCUGCAUGGAGCCGACCUUGAAAUACCACCCUUUAAUGUUUGAUGUUCUAACGUUGACCCGUAAUCCGGGUUGCGGACAGUGUCUGGUGGGUAGUUUGACUGGGGCGGUCUCCUCCUAAAGAGUAACGGAGGAGCACGAAGGUUGGCUAAUCCUGGUCGGACAUCAGGAGGUUAGUGCAAUGGCAUAAGCCAGCUUGACUGCGAGCGUGACGGCGCGAGCAGGUGCGAAAGCAGGUCAUAGUGAUCCGGUGGUUCUGAAUGGAAGGGCCAUCGCUCAACGGAUAAAAGGUACUCCGGGGAUAACAGGCUGAUACCGCCCAAGAGUUCAUAUCGACGGCGGUGUUUGGCACCUCGAUGUCGGCUCAUCACAUCCUGGGGCUGAAGUAGGUCCCAAGGGUAUGGCUGUUCGCCAUUUAAAGUGGUACGCGAGCUGGGUUUAGAACGUCGUGAGACAGUUCGGUCCCUAUCUGCCGUGGGCGCUGGAGAACUGAGGGGGGCUGCUCCUAGUACGAGAGGACCGGAGUGGACGCAUCACUGGUGUUCGGGUUGUCAUGCCAAUGGCACUGCCCGGUAGCUAAAUGCGGAAGAGAUAAGUGCUGAAAGCAUCUAAGCACGAAACUUGCCCCGAGAUGAGUUCU
rnacentral:rRNA from 1 species